rnacentral:rRNA from 1 species
AUUGAACGCUGGCGGCAUGCCUUACACAUGCAAGUCGAACGGCAGCACGGGGGCAACCCUGGUGGCGAGUGGCGAACGGGUGAGUAAUGCAUCGGAACGUGUCCUCUUGUGGGGGAUAACCAGUCGAAAGAUUGGCUAAUACCGCAUGAGAUCGCAAGAUGAGAGCGGGGGACCGCAAGGCCUCGCGCGAGAGGAGCGGCCGAUGCCGGAUUAGCUAGUUGGUGGGGUAAAAGCCUACCAAGGCGACAAUCCGUAGCUGGUCUGAGAGGACGACCAGCCACACUGGGACUGAGACACGGCCCAGACUCCUACGGGAGGCAGCAGUGGGGAAUUUUGGACAAUGGGCGCAAGCCUGACCCAGCCAUGCCGCGUGUGUGAAGAAGGCCUUCGGGUUGUAAAGCACUUUCGGACGGAACGAAAUCGCGCGGACGAACAUUCCGCGUGGAUGACGGUACCGUAAGAAGAAGCACCGGCUAACUACGUGCCAGCCGCCGCCGUAA